GAGUGGGCGGGGACGAGUGAGUCGGAGUGGAAAUGUCCCUGGAGCAUUUGUGAAGCUAAGAUGUACUAGGAGCAGGAGGGGACCGUCAAGGGAAGUCACUGCAAAGGCUGCCAAGGAAGACCCAAGCUCUGCACUCGGGGUCUCAAUAGCGCAAUCCAGCCCUGGUAUGUGACCAGCUAUUGUACCCCACCACCCACACAAGCCCCUGGUCCCUUCUGCUAAUGUCUCUGCCUUGGAGCCAGAUGGGGCCCUUCCGUCCAGACCCUCCCGCUAAGUCUUCUAUCUACUCUCAAUUUUAAGAGGCAGGAGGCGGCGAGAGUGGGAGUAUAGCUCACUGGGACCGGGCAAAUGACUCAUCUCUGUUGUUGAGACCAGUCACCACAGCUGACCCUGCGUCUUCCCUUCAGCUUUUCUUCCCAUCAGAGAGUGGAAUCUGGCCAAACGGAAGGCCCCGGUCUCUAUCGAGCAGCCAUCAAAAGCCAACGCUGGCUGCUGCAGAUGUAACUCGGAGGUAGAGGGUUUGGCUAGCAUGCAGAAGACCCUGGAUCCCACCCCAGCGCUGCAAACCUAACAACACUCACAAAAAAUGAACGCCUGUGCUAUCGGGUGUCACAAUGAAGAGUCACCUGCAGCCAAGCACAGAGUGUCCCCGGUGUGUGGAAGAACAGAGAGGACAGGCAGUGACAGAUGUACAGGCUGCAAACUGCAGUGCUGAUCUACUCAGAGCCCGCUCCUUCUCCCCAGGGCAUAAACCUUUCGAAUGACAAGGAAGAACUAGAAAAACAGCUGUGGCAAGUUCUCAACAACUGGCUGAGAUGCUUGGGGUGUCUGCUAGCCAACGCUUAGGCAUUUGGUGUCUACCAGAACCUAGACAUUAAAGCAUGGAUUGUUUCCACAAAGGAGGGUAAGAAGUGGCUUGAAGACAGCAAGAUUUAGCUCCAAAUGUCAGGACCCAGCACUAAAGAAGGCAGGAAGCAGGAGGAAUCUCUGUGAGUUUCCAGAUAGCCAGGGCUAUAUAGAGAGACCUAGUCUCAAACAGCAAGCUAUCCUUGGCAUUGGCGUCCUUGGUAUACAAUGUAGAAGGACAGCAUUUCAGGGGACCCGAAAGGUCUCUAGGAUCAGGUGACAGAGCUUACCCUGCAGUAUGGACCGGGUGCAAUUUUCUCUUGCUCAGGGAAUGAAGCUGGUUUUUUGUUUUUUGUUUUGUUUUGUUUUGUUUUGGCCAGGGUCUUAUGUGUCCCAUGAUAGCCUCACACUAACUGUGCAAUGAAGGGUUACCUUGAACUUCUGAUCCUCCUGACAUGACCUCAUAAGUGAUGCUGCCACAGGCAUGUGCCACCUUGCCUGCUUUAUAUAGUGCUAGGGACUUCGGGCAUGCUAGGGAAAUACAUUGCCACCCGAGAUACACCCCCAGCCCCAGAACUGGGAGCUCUUAAAUCAUCUUGAAAAUGAGUUGGGACAACAUACUUAAAAUCGAUGUAACCCUCCAAUCCCUGGAGACUCACAAAGCACUGUGUCUUUUUGGUGAUGGGAGAUGGAAGCUGUAUUGUCAUGCACUUUGGAGAGAAAUGUCGCAUGUUCAUAAUGCCAGCUCCUAGAAGCCUUCCUUAUUGAGAUGUCAGGCCUUGGUAUUUUCAUGGCACCUCUGUCAUAUUUAGGGUACUUUUCAUUUCUAUUCUCUGGCCUCCAGCAGCAUGAUGUCAUUCGUAGAAAGUAGAAUAGUGUGGUAUCUUGGGAAACAAUGAGGUAUUAGAAGUCUGAGGCGUGAAGAGCUGUCAAAAGAGCUAAGAGCAAGUCAUGAUGAGAAGGGGCAGGUGAUCUGAUGACCCUGAGGGGUGAGAGCAGUUUCUGAUCUUUUUGACUUCCUAGAAUAGAGGAAAAGGCAUUUGCCAGCUCAGGGACUGCAUAUCGGGUGUCAGGGAUGGAAUUUAUUUUCUCUAUCAAUGGGACCACAUCAGAAAUAGCAGCUGCAACUGGAGUCACCGCAUAAUUAGGUUUAUGGAAAUCCACUGCCAUUCUCCAAGACCCAGAUGCCAUCUUCGCUAGCCAGGGUGACGAAUAAUCUAGGAAUUUAGUCAAAUUAUCGCACACAGUCUUUCAAAGCCACAGUGGGCUCUGGAGUCGUGACCGAUUCAUGCUUGGAAACUGGGAGACAGAUUGUCCUAACAACCCUCACAGAGAAGACCAUGUUGGCCUCAGACACAGUUACAGAGAUCUACCUGACUCUCUCUCGCUCCUGGUGCUGGGAUUAAAGAUACUAUAUACUCAACUCAAGCUGGUGGCAGCCCCACUUCUUCAUCUGUUACACAAGGAUAGAAGCAUUUGGUUGCUUCAAGGAUUAAUAAUAAAACUUGCAGGUCUCUUCCUGUG